rnacentral:tRNA from 1 species
AUUUAUAUAAUUCAUGUUAGAAUAUUGUGUUGAAGCCACAAAAGAGGUAGAUAUACCUGUAAAUA